CAGCUUGGGGUAAUUAGCAAGGAAGGCUCUUAAGGAGGAGCUUCUGCCCCAAGAAGUACUGGUUGCCAGCCUUGCUGCUGAGCUGUUCUUGCAUAGUGCCAUGAAAAAGCCUCUCUAAGCAAUUUUGCCUUUACCAAUGAGCUGCUGCUGGUGUGAUGCUCCCUCUGCAACAAAUGAAGGUGUCAGAGUCAGGACUGUGAUGCCUCUUAGGACAAAUCCUCCCCAGUGGGACCAGCCACACAGGAGAGAAUGAGAAACUGAGUCUGGUGGGACAGGGAGAGUGCUUUCAAGCUGCUUUCAGGCCACCUGUGAGGGGAAAAAGGGACUUAAUGAGAUCUUCCUUUUUACUUCCUAAAAUGCUCCUUGAACAUGAUUUGUGUUUUAUUCAUGAGAUUUAAAAACUGAGUUGAACAACUAAGCUGAGAGAGACCACACAAUGGCUAAAAGGGUGCUAAAAAUAAAACAACAAGAAGGAGGAAAUGA